UGUCGCUCUUCCUUUCCCGCGCGACCGGCGAGGGAGGAAGAAGCGCGAAGAGCCGUUAGUCAUGCCGGUGUGGUGGCGGCGGCGGAGCCUGCGGGCCGGUAGCUGGGCUCUGCAAGGUGAAAGAAAGCCUUUGAGGUGAAGAUGUAUGAAGGUCAUCAUAACAAAUGUUUUCCAAAAACUUGCAGAAGGCUGUGAAAACUACUAGGAUCACGCGGCAUGUAUUGAGGUACCUAAAUUUAAUUAAUGUUAGUUAUGUGAUGUAUUCUUGACAGAUAGGUUUAAUAGCUGGCACAAUGAUGACUUAAAUUACUUUUUGCCGUUUACCCAGCUGAGGGUGUCUUUGAAGAAAUAAUUUUAAGACUGAGAUGCCAGUAAUGUACAUUGAUUAAUUACUGACAUGUAUGUAAGGCAAUAAUUUAAUUAAGGGUGAAUAUUCUUUCUUUUUAGCAUAUAGGUUGCUGUAGAUGAAUGUUCUUAGCUGUCAUGUUUAAAAAUACUUCUUCGUUACCUCAAGUAAGUGAUUUGUCAAGCAACUAUGUCUGCUGACAGUUCAGAAAGUAUCUGAUAAACGUCAAAGGGUGGGGGCAGAUUCUUGUUGAAGUUGCUUUUGCAUGUGUGGUAUUCUCAACAUUAAUUUUUUGAGGGGCACUUGUGAAUAUUGAGGUUAUAUGAGAACUUUGAGUAUGGAAUGAUUUUCACUGUGGUUUCUGACUUUGUUUUGGAGGUGUGGCAUGCAGCAUUUUGGAAGGAAAAUUGAAGACUUGUUCAAGAAAACAUGAACAGAAGCAAAUGAUGAAAAUGAGCAUUUUACUUGAUGUUGAUAACAUCACAAUAAAUUAUGGAGAAAAAUACAUAUUUGGCUAACUUUUAAUUGCUGAACAAUAAAGUAUUUUCUUUUAAAUCAA